ACUUCACCCAUAAAGUCUCUUCCUCAGCCUUGAUCUGUGUGCUAAGACUUGGUCCACCAAAAAACAAAGAGAGGAGUGUGAAAACUGUUUUCGAAACUGAACUGUGUCGCUGUGCAAAAUGGAUCUUGAACUGUGUGUAAAAGAUAGGUGACCAAUAGCUGACCUGUAAUGGAGUCAGCCUCACCCGUAAAGUCUCUUCCUCAGCCUUGAUCUGAUUUUGGAAACUGGACUGUCUUGCUGUGCUGAAUGAAUCUUGAACUGUGUCGGAGUCCAGGUCCACCAAAAAACAAGGAGAAGAGAGUUAAGAUUGUUUCAGAAACUGAAGGGAUCUUGAACUGUUUACAAGAGAUGGGUAGUGAAAAGGUUACCCACAAAGGAGUCAGUUUCACCCACCAAAUCUCCUGAGAUGCAAAGAUUUGGUCCUCAAUAAAAAGGUAACACGAAGAUUACAACUUUACUAAGAAUUUCAUAGUAGACUGAUGAUUUCAUGAAGGAUGACCAUCUCAAGAAACCAAGAACAAAUGUCAACCUCCUCCACGCCCAUCUCUUGAUGGCAGUUUUUAAGAAGUUGUAAAAACUGUCUAUUUCGUGGUAACGACAUCUUGCAAUACGCAUGUGUCUUAAGACAGACGUUUGGUUUAGAAAUGCAUGCGUUUGAAAUAAGCGUCACUACCACAAGGUAGACAACUUUUAAAGAGAAUUAAGAAAAUGGACCCCAGAGGUGGGUGUGGUGCGGGAGGCUGGAUGGAGAAAAAAAACUGUAUCAAAUAAUUGUAAUAUUACUGUAUUAUAUGAUUGUAAGAACAAGAUUGUAAUGUUACCAUUGUAAUAGAUAAUAAAAUAUUGUACAGUAAUAA